ensembl:lncRNA JUN-DT JUN divergent transcript
ACACUCCAUCCGCGCCGAGUUGCUUCCGGGAAAACAAGCCCAGAAGGCGGCGGACACUCGCAUAAAGUCACGCAGUAGUACUCGGAGCCCGGGGUAGAACCUGGACUUCAAAUCUCUGCACUCCCGGCCGGGUGGUGGGCGCAUAUCCUGGGUAGCCUCUAGGAAGCGCUAGACACAUAGGGAUAAGCAUUCCUGUUUUUCUGCUGAAACUGAGGAAACUGAGGCUCUGAGAGAGUAGCCGACUCAGUCAGGGUCAUACACACAGUUACCUGGUAGGGCUGUUGUGUGACCCCAGGCUGGCCCCAGAUUGGGCUCUUCCACUCACGCUCUUUCUGCGUCUGCCUCUCAGCCAUACAAGCCAAAGAAACACUGUGUUCCCAGCCCACGAAUGAAGCUGAGGCAUGAUGGACAAGGCUUAUGGAACUAGACUUUUCUUCUCCAAGUGCUCUCUCCCACAACUUCCAAAAUUAUCCCCAUGGGGAUGAUGCUUACAACAGAAAUGCCAGCUCCACCCUCUUUCCAGCUGCCUGCUGGACAUCACUGCCUGGAUUUAUGCUCAGUUCUAGAUACAAUGCUUGGCCUAGAGUGGGUGCUCACUGUUGAAUAAAUAGUCAAUGAUGUCCUACAGAUAAUAUCUGAAUCUAAGUUCACCGUAUCCACUGCUGAGUCCCCAGUGCCUAGACAAGGCUUGGGGAACAAUUGUUCAAUGAAUAAAUGGAAGAAUGCAUUUUCCCUCCCUCCAACAUAGUUUAUUUUUUGGAUUGCCUACUUCUGCUGAGAUCCUCAUCCCUCUACAGUUUCUCAAGCCAAAAGCCCAGGACUUCCCCAGGACACCCCUUCUCUCAUGUGACUCUCAGCAAACUGGUCACCACAUUCUUUCAAUUCACCCUCUGACCUGUCUUUCAUGCCAAUCUCCUCCUCUCCAAAUCUGAACACAUGAACUUCUUUACUUUAUUGUGCAAGAUUGUAUUGGUUACAAGGAGCAAAAACCCAACUUGAACUUGCAUAAGCCAAAAAGGAGAUUUUAAAUGAGAAGAAUAUAGGGAAAAUCAAAGAACUGAUGGAGAAACCAAACUACCAAGCCCCAGGAAUGGCAGAGUUGGCUGGAACGGGGUGCUCUGAUUCUGACAGCUCUCUUUCUCUUACACCUCCAUCUUCUGAGUUCAUUGAUGUACUGGCCUCAUUCUCUCUCAGCAGUUUCCUCAGUAUCACAGGGAUGUGGAUGCUACACACUCCUAUCUAUACAGUUUUGGGGUCAGAGUAGAAAAAACCUCUUUCCCAUGUGCUGCAAUGUCAUAAUUCCUAGAGAACUCCAAUUUACCUAGUGUGGCAUAUGGGCCUGCCCCUGGACCAGCCACUGGGGUUGGCAGCAAAGAACACCUCUGUGGGAGUUAGAAGAGGGCACUAUCUUCUGAGUGUCUGCACCUCCACAGGUGCAAGCUUGCCCUGCAGAGCACAGGCUGGAUUCCAGUCCCCACUUAUUAUCCCUGCCAGACAAGCUUCUACAGGGCAUAACCUGCACAACUGUACAUGGCGGACCUGGCUGGCAGUGGAUGUGGGGCUGGGCACUCCCAGUUCGAAUCAGAUGUCUACACCUGGCCAAUUACUACUGUUAGAAAGGCAGGGUCAUGCAAAUGAUCUCACUUUCCAUGUGGACACGUGGUCAGAGUGGAGGGAGGUUUGGAAAAAGAACAUUUCUCUAAGAAAGGAAGGUAGCACGUUCAUGGACCACAGCAGAAUCAUAUGAGCUGGAAUGUGUUUACAACUCCUAAACCUGCUUCUUUUUUUGGUUCUCUUCAUUGAUACAAAGAACCAUCUGCCCAGUUACUCUCUCCAAAAACCCAUGAGGUAUCCUGAAUUCUUUCCUCUCCCUCAUAAUCAUUCUCCUGAAUAUGUCUCAAAUAUAUUCUAAUCAUCUCUCCGUUUCUUCUGCCAUCUCCUAGGUUAAGCAACUAUUAAUUCUUGCUUGGCCCAUUACAAAAAUGGCCUCCUAACAAAAACAACCCCAAAUUCAUCCCAUCCCU